rnacentral:rRNA from 1 species
CACCUUCGGGUGUGACUGCGUACCUUUUGUAUAAUGGGUCAGCGACUUAUAUUCUGUAGCAAGGUUAACCGUAUAGGGGAGCCGCAGGGAAACCGAGUCUUAACUGGGCGUUAAGUUGCAGGGUAUAGACCCGAAACCCGGUGAUCUAGCCAUGGGCAGGUUGAAGGUUGGGUAACACUAACUGGAGGACCGAACCGACUAAUGUUGAAAAAUUAGCGGAUGACUUGUGGCUGGGGGUGAAAGGCCAAUCAAACCGGGAGAUAGCUGGUUCUCCCCGAAAGCU